UUAACUUCUUGAUCAAAACUGACUUUCAUGUUUUCCCAUUUGUGUUCCAGCAUGUAACUGAAGUGCAUUUCCGUAUUGUUUUCUGUAUUUGUGGAUCUGUGAGUCACUUGGACAGCAUAACCCCAAUUUUCUCUGUGGUUCUUUCAACUUUGUUUACAGCUUUAUUAAGGAAACAGCACCCAGCAUGUUGACACAACUGCCCCCAAGGGUGCUUGCAUCAUCUGAUCACUGCAUGGGGCCUUCUCCAGGGGCCUCCACCCUUGGACAGAGGGACCUCAUGACCCACAUGGAGGGGCAAAUCGGGAAAUCCAGCAAUUAAAUGCCUCCGUGGCUAAAGCUCAACAAAUGAGGGGCCAUGAGGCAUGAGAGAUCUUAGCUCGCUGACCAGGGAUCAAAUCCACAGCCCCUGCAUUGAAAGGCGAUGUCUCAACCACUGGACCACCAGGGAAGUCCCAAGUCUUCUUAAUUAUUUCUAUUCUUCUGCUUUCUUUUUUGGGCCUACUUCUUAUUUCAUUGUUUGUUAUCUCAUGACACGAUGGAUGAAGCAAUUGCUGUAAGAACAGGAUAAAGUCAAUGCUGCUGGCAUUUCUGUUUUCUUAUCAUUGCUUAACUGGUAUUAUCUUCAAGGUGACGGUUCUUUUCAAGAAUCUUCUUUAAUGCCCUUGUCCAUUUUGUGAGAAGUUCAGCGAACACCCCUUAAUUAAGUCCAUGAUUCUAUCCAUCCAGCUGCACUUAACUAACAACACAUUGCAACAGGCUCUGAGAGCAAAGGAGGCGGUGUUGCCACCACCGCGCUGCCUGGCGGGAGGAGACACUCCAUGCUUUCUGCCCGCUUCCUUCCACACCACAUAUGACAUUUUCUGUGUUAUCAGGACUGAAUGCCAGUGCUGCGGCCCAGCCAUGUAUUAAACAGUUACCACAUUCGAUUUUCUUUCCUUUUUAGGAUAAAAAAAUACAUAAUUAAGAAAGGACUUAGCAGUUCAGUGGUUAAGACUUCACCUUCUAAUGCAGGGAGCAUGUGUAUGAUCCCUGCUUGGGAAGCUAAGAUCCUACAUGCCUCGCAGCCAAAAUACCACAACAUGAAACAGAAGCAAUGCUGUAACCAACUCAAUAAAACCUUUAAAAAUGUCCACAUUAAAAAACAUUUUUUAAAAAGGAAAAUCCACUUUGGACACUAUUGACCUAGAUGCUGGGCUCUAAAAAUAUAAAAUUGAAACUCCAUAGAAUGACUCUUGUCUCCAUGAUUUGUCUUCUGUGUAGAAUACCCAACUUUAUUUUGACUCACCACUUUAUAUUCAACAUUGCAGACUUCCUUAAAUUUCUAAAAUCAGUCUUGCUCUUUUAUACCAUGGAGCUUAGUAAAUGUUCUUCUCCAUGUCUCUUUGGCUUUUUAUUCUUUUAUCAACCUAGAGUCACAGUUUCCACCACAUUUCUUGCAAAUGCCUCCAUGACCGUAUCCCUCAGCUCAGCACCAGUAGCAGCUGUACCUACUCUGAAGACUUCCAAGUGCAUCCGGAUCUACGUCACAUCAUGCGGCUCCACCUCAAGAAACCCAGCAGAGCAGCUAGACUGGUACCCGUGGUUGAACUUUCAAGCCCCCUGCUCAAACCUUGGAUCUUCAGGCUGCUGCAACUCCAAGAUGCCUACUGGGAACUGCUUAAGACCCUGAGUGUCCCCAUGCAGUGAAACACUUGUUCAGUUUAAAUUCUCUAAGACACCAUCAUUCCUUCACAAGAUUAGGCAAAGGAUGAUUUUGAUCAAUAGCUAUCAUUCUCCACUUCAAAUGACUACUCUUCUUCAGUGACUAAUUCUCUCCAAGGUACAUUUGGAUUCUUCCCCUCUGCUC